rnacentral:sRNA from 1 species
GCCGGGCGCAGUGGUGCACACCUGUAAUCCCAGUGGCUUGGAGGCUGAGGCAGGAGAAUCAUGAGUUCAAAGCCAGCCUCAG